AAAUUGAAGAGUUUGAUCAUGGCUCAGAUUGAACGCUGGCGGCAGGCCUAACACAUGCAAGUCGAGCGGUAGCACAGAGAGCUUGCUCUCGGGUGACGAGCGGCGGACGGGUGAGUAAUGUCUGGGAAACUGCCUGAUGGAGGGGGAUAACUACUGGAAACGGUAGCUAAUACCGCAUAAUGUCGCAAGACCAAAGUGGGGGACCUUCGGGCCUCAUGCCAUCAGAUGUGCCCAGAUGGGAUUAGCUAGUAGGUGGGGUAACGGCUCACCUAGGCGACGAUCCCUAGCUGGUCUGAGAGGAUGACCAGCCACACUGGAACUGAGACACGGUCCAGACUCCUACGGGAGGCAGCAGUGGGGAAUAUUGCACAAUGGGCGCAAGCCUGAUGCAGCCAUGCCGCGUGUAUGAAGAAGGCCUUCGGGUUGUAAAG
rnacentral:rRNA from 1 species